AUUGAACGCUGGCGGCAGGCCUAACACAUGCAAGUCGAGCGCGCGGCGGACGGGUGAGUCAUGUAUGGGGAUCUGCCCGCUGGAGGGGGAUAACUACUGGAAACGGUGGCUAAUACCGCAUACUAUCGGCUGAACCCAGAUGGGAUUAGCUAGUAGGUGGGGGAAAGGCUCACCUAGGCGACGAUCUCUAGCUGGUCUGAGAGGAUGAUCAGCCACACGGGGACUGAGACACGGCCCAGAAUCCUACGGGAGGCAGCAGUGGGGAAUAGUGCACAAUGGGCAGAAGCCUGAUGCAGCCAUGCCGCGUGUAUGAAGAAGGCCUUCGGGUUGUAAAGUACUGUCAGCGGGGAGGCGUUACCCGCAGAAGAAGCACCGGCUAACUCCGUGCCAGCAGCCGCGGUAAUUC
rnacentral:rRNA from 1 species